GGCCCCCCUCCAGGCAAGCUGUGACAGAGAGAGCAAGAGGGGACCUGCGUGCAUCAAGAGGCCAGGUUUUACAGUGACCUGAUAAACGUGGGGCUGAGGCAGCAAAGAUCAAGCGGCAAGAGGUGCUUGAGGGCAUUUCAGUGCAAGGAGCAGUGACACACUCAGCAGGAAGGCUGCUCCAGUCAAACCCAGCUUCCCCAGUGCUCGCAGUCCCCACAUCAUCUGCAAUUCAUACUUUGAAGCUCGCAGGCAGAGCUGCUGCGUGGAAUGUUGUCUGCCAAGCACUUGGCACAAUGUGCCUCCAUGGACCAGGACUACAGGGCAGCAGUCCGGGUCAAACCCAUGUUUGCCAACCUCUCUGUCUCAAGAGGACACAAUGCACCUCUGUGGUAAACUGAGACCCCUAUUCAAGCCCCUCUGCUCUUCAUCUCUACCAGGAGCUCAGCAGCCUGCCAAGGGAUGCAGCACUGGCAACUGCUCCUGAUUUAUACUGAUGGAGAAUAACUUCCCUUUACAAAAGUAAAUAAAG